rnacentral:lncRNA from 1 species
UCCACCAUCUAAACUUCUCCGCCUCCCUCUUCUCUCUUCCCCAUCUCCGACGGCCAUCGUGUUGCCUUGCCAAAGUGGCGCUACCUCUUUAAAACCCUAUUUUUCUUUCCUAGACCCAUCAUCAUACUGUUUCAGGAGUCUUCGGAUGUGAUGCCACCGAGAUCCGCCCCACUGGCUGCUGUCAUCGCUGCUGCCACCAUCUCAAGUAAGCUUCUCUUCUUCUUCUUCCUUUCCGACCCUAGGUACCACUGUCAUGGCAUAAGGACAAUGCUCUUUUUUUUUCUUUUGGAUCCCCUGUCGCC